rnacentral:sRNA from 2 species
UGUAUCGGAAGCCUGACGAGGAUGAGAACCUCCGGGGGCAAGAGGUUCGACUCGAGCGCAGCGAGAGAACGUUGCGUCAGCAACGGCCCGC